rnacentral:rRNA from 1 species
UACGAAGGGGGCUAGCGUUGCUCGGAAUCACUGGGCGUAAAGGGUGCGUAGGCGGGUCUUUAAGUCAGGGGUGAAAUCCUGGAGCUCAACUCCAGAACUGCCUUUGAUACUGAGGAUCUUGAGUUCGGGAGAGGUGAGUGGAACUGCGAGUGUAGAGGUGAAAUUCGUAGAUAUUCGCAAAGAACACCAGUGGCGAAGGCGGCUCACUGGCCCGAUACUGACGCUGAGGCACGGAAAGCGUGGGGAGCAAACAGG